AUUGAACGCUGGCGGCAUGCCUUACACAUGCAAGUCGAACGGCAGCACGGGAGCAAUCCUGGUGGCGAGUGGCGAACGGGUGAGUAAUAUAUCGGAACGUGCCCAGUUGUGGGGGAUAACGUAGCGAAAGCUACGCUAAUACCGCAUACGAUCUAUGGAUGAAAGCGGGGGAUCGCAAGACCUCGCGCGAUUGGAGCGGCCGAUAUCAGAUUAGGUAGUUGGUGAGGUAAAGGCUCACCAAGCCGACGAUCUGUAGCUGGUCUGAGAGGACGACCAGCCACACUGGGACUGAGACACGGCCCAGACUCCUACGGGAGGCAGCAGUGGGGAAUUUUGGACAAUGGGCGCAAGCCUGAUCCAGCAAUGCCGCGUGCAGGAGGAAGGCCUUCGGGUUGUAAACUGCUUUUGUACGGAGCGAAAAGGCUUCCACUAAUACUGGGGGCUCAUGACGGUACCGUAAGAAUAAGCACCGGCUAACUACGUGCCAGCCGCCGCGGUAA
rnacentral:rRNA from 1 species